rnacentral:rRNA from 1 species
AACCAGCACCUCAAGUGGCCAGGAUGAUUAUUGGGCCUAAAGCAUCCGUAGCCUGUUCUAUAAGUUUCCGGUUAAAUCCAUACGCUCAACGUAUGGGCUGCCGGAAAUACUGCAGAACUAGGGAGUGGGAGAGGUAGACGGUACUCGAUAGGAAGAGGUAAAAUUCUUUGAUCUAUUGAUGACCACCUGUGGCGAAGGCGCCAUACUAGAACGGAUCCGACGGUCAGGGACGAAGCCUAGGGGCACGAACCGG